rnacentral:rRNA from 1 species
GAUGAACGCUGGCUACAGGCUUAACACAUGCAAGUCGAGGGGAAACGGCAUUGAGUGCUUGCACUGAAUGGACGUCGACCGGCGCACGGGUGAGUAACGCGUAUCCAACCUUCCCGUUACUGCGGGAUAACCUGCCGAAAGGCAGACUAAUACCGCAUGUUCUUCGAUGACGGCAUCAGAUUCGAAGCAAAGACUCGUCGGUAACGGAGGGGGAUGCGUCUGAUUAGCUUGUUGGCGGGGCGACGGCCCACCAAGGCGACGAUCAGUAGGGGUUCUGAGAGGAAGGUCCCCCACAUUGGAACUGAGACACGGUCCAAACUCCUACGGGAGGCAGCAGUGAGGAAUAUUGGUCAAUGGGCGGAAGCCUGAACCAGCCAAGUAGCGUGCAGGAGGACGGCCCUACGGGUUGUAAACUGCUUUUAUGCGGGGAUAAAGUGAGGGACGCGUCCCUUUUUGCAGGUACCGCAUGAAUAAGGACCGGCUAAUUCCGUGCCAGCAGCCGCGGUAAUACGGAAGGUCCGGGCGUUAUCCGGAUUUAUUGGGUUUAAAGGGAGCGUAGGCCGGGGAUUAAGUGUGUUGUGAAAUGUAGGCGCCCAACGUCUGACUUGCAGCGCAUACUGGUUCCCUUGAGUACGCGCAACGCCGGCGGAAUUCGUCGUGUAGCGGUGAAAUGCUUAGAUAUGACGAAGAACCCCGAUUGCGAAGGCAGCCGGCGGGAGCGCAACUGACGCUGAAGCUCGAAGGUGCGGGUAUCGAACAGG